GGACGAACGCUGGCGGCGUGCAUAACACAUGCAAGUCGAGCGAAGUGCUUAUCAUGAAAUCUUCGGAUUGAUUGAUAAACCACUUAGCGGCGGAUGGGUGAGUAACGCGUGAGGAACCUGCCUUGCACAAGGGGAUAGCCUCGGGAAACCGGGAUUAAUACCCUAUGAUACUUUGAGUUUGCAUGAACUUAAAGUUAAAGCGAUUAAGCGGUGUAAGAUGGUCUCGCGUCCCAUUAGCUAGUUGGUGAGGUAACGGCUCACCAAGGCUGCGAUGGGUAGCCGGCUUGAGAGAGUGACCGGCCACACUGGAACUGAGACACGGUCCAGACUCCUACGGGAGGCAGCAGUGGGGAAUAUUGCACAAUGGAGGAAACUCUGAUGCAGCGACGCCGCGUGAGCGAUGAAGGAAUUCGUUUCGUAAAGCUCUGUCCUAGGGGACGAUAAUGACGGUACCCUAGGAGGAAGCCCCGGCUAACUACGUGCCAGCAGCCGCGGUAAUACGUAGGGGGCGAGCGUUGUCCGGAAUUACUGGGCGUAAAGGGUACGCAGGCGGUCAUGUAAGUCAGAUGUGAAAGACUAGGGCUUAACCUUAGCAAGCAUUUGAAACUGUGUGACUUGAGUUAAGGAGAGGAAAGUGGAAUUCCUGGUGUAGCGGUGAAAUGCGUAGAUAUCAGGAGGAAUACCAGUGGCGAAGGCGACUUUCUGGCCUUAAACUGACGCUGAGGUACGAAAGCGUGGGGAGCAAACAGGAUUAGAUACCCUGGUAGUCCACGCUGUAAACGAUGAGUGCUAGGUGUCGGGUGUCAAAGCUCGGUGCCGCAGUUAACACAUUAAGCACUCCGCCUGGGGAGUACGUUCGCAAGAAUG
rnacentral:rRNA from 1 species